rnacentral:lncRNA from 1 species
CCAGUAAGCCACGCCAAUCCAUCCGAUCCAUCGCUCCCGCGCAUCCCGAGCGCACUGGAGGACCAGCCAUGUCGCCGCCGUGAACUCCUUCGUCUUCUUCCUCGCCGUUCGUGUCCCUCAAGUUCGUCGACGUCCUCUUCGCCCGCUGCUACAUCUGCGUCACAUAAGGAGUCGCCAAGUCCCGUGCCUGACGUCUUCCUCUGCUUCCUUCUUCCUCGGACAGGAACUGCGUCGGGUUCAGAGCUCGUCCGCGUCGUCGAUGGCUCGUCUACAUUGAUUUAUCCGUGUCCUUGGGUGAGCUAGGUAUGCCUGCUACCCCUAUCUCUUCUGCUGCCGCAUAUCAAUCACCGUAGACGUGCCUGGGAUCGGUUUCACAUCGCGCUCUCGCCGCUCUGGUGUUUUCUGAAAUUUUCUCAGGAUCCAGCAACACGCUCUCUGCAUCCCGCGCAUUCCGAGGCCCAGUUGGCUCCGUAGACGUCCCACUGGCCUCGUGCCUUCUUUCGCAGCUCUGCCGCCGGCUCACCGUACCCUGUUGCCGUCGCCGCUGCUUGCCAUGCCCUGAGUCGAGCCGUGCUCGAGCUCGAGCACCCGCGUCCUUUUCCUAGCCUUGCCUAGCGCGCACACACUCACAGUUGCACAUGGCCGCCCCUUCCUUGCACCUGCGCGUGCAACUCCAGAACACGCCAAACAUCACAUGCAUAUCCUCACGCAUCAUCACCACCAGGCCGCCGUUCAUGGUUGCGCCUGUAGCUCGCCAUGCUCGCUCCUGUACACGCAUGCUCACUCACACAGCUUCCACACACCCUCAAGCCUUCCGCUGGUAGCACCGCCUCCCAAAUCCGCACGCCCGCCGCAGGUUCAUCACCCCAACGGCCGUCGCUUGUGCUUGCCCUCGCCGCCGGUUGUCGCCGUGCAGCCAUGGCCAAGCUCGACCUGUUGUUGGAUAGCUCAAAAGAGCCUGGGCGCACUUUGUAUCACGAAUGCUAAGCUAACCCAGUGGUUUCUCCCUCAUGCACACAUCCAGGAGGUCCUGGGAUUUGAUCCCAGGACGCCCACAAUUUUGCCCUGUUUCUUUUUCAUCUUUCUGUCAGGUUCGCUGGAACUGUUGGUUCAAAUCACCAUGCCAACAUCUUUUUGCACCAAUUUUGGCUCAUCCAGAUCAAGCCCUUGUUCUUCUUCAUGUUGCAUCCAUCCCAUCUCAUAUCACCAAUACACUGCUAUCCCAGUGGUUUUCAGAGUCUGCAACGAUUCAGGAGGUACUGGGUUCAAUUCCAGGUUCUCUUCUUUUUCGUUGUUGUUUUGUUUUAUUGAUGCGUCUCUGUCCUAGCUCAUUGCAUGUUUUUUUCUGCCUGUGCAUUUAGUUAUUUUACCCAGGGUGCCCACAAUUUUGCCCUGUUUCUUUUUCAUCUUUCUGUCAGGUUCGCUGGAACUGUUGGUUCAGUUACAGUUUCCUGCGAAUUAUCUUAGGUGCACUCUUGGUACUACUGGUUAGACUAGCAGGUUUGCAACCAGGGAUCAAAUCACCAUGCCAACAUCUUUUUGCACCAAUUUUGGCUCAUCCAUAUCAAGCCCUUGUUCUUCUUCAUGUUGCAUCCAUCCCAUCUCAUAUCACCAAUACACUGCUAUCCCAGUGGUUUUCAGAGUCUGCAACGAUUCAGGAGGUACUGGGUUCAAUUCCAGGUUCUCUUCUUUUUCGUUGUUGUUUUGUUUUAUUGAUGCGUCUCUGUCCUAGCUCAUUGCAUGUUUUUUUCUGCCUGUGCAUUUAGUUAUUUUACCCAGUAUUGCAUAGUUGCAGGAAAUGCCAUUUAUUUGCUUUACUCAUAUUUAAAUAAUCGUGCAUCGGAUCGAAACAUGUCAUAUAUGCAUCUUGCUUAGAUUUUCAUAUAGUUUCACAAUGUCCAACUUCCAUUCAUGUCUAAGAUGUUUAAAAUUGUUGUUUCCAUUAAUUUUGCAUAAAUGACAUACUAAAAUGGUUUAUUUCAUAACUAAAUAAUCGUAGCUCCGUUUUAAAUAAACUUGAUAUGUAAAUGGGGUGGAAUAAUGCAUAGAUUAACAUGUUGCACUUUAUUUUCCUGUUUAACAAACAACAAAAAUUGUGUUUAGGGCAGAACAGUACCAAAUUCAUAAUUUGCAUAUGGGGAUUUUCCAGAAUUGUUGUUUGUAACUUCCGGCCUCAUUUAAACUUGCCUAGAUAGUUAGUUUUCUCUUGCUUCACCUCUUGACAUGUUUAACAACAUUUAAUAUUGUUGUGUACCUAAACGAGAGCGAACUAAAUAAAUGUUGUGAAGUUUUGUCAAUAUGCAACUCGUUGCAUAUUGAGCUCCACUUAAUUUGUAGUAUUGUUUGUUGCACUUUGCCAUGCCAUGCUCUUUAAACCGGACAUGCAUCAUACUUGUUUGUGCAUCAUGCCAUGUUUAUGCUUGUGCAUUUACCAUGUUGUUUGUUUCUUUCCGGUGUUGCUUCUUAGUUCCGGUAAUGUUGCGAUUAUGAGGAUUCGUUCGACUACUCCCGUUCGUCUUCUUCAUGGACUCGUUCUUCUUCCUUGCGGGAUUUCAGGCAAGAUGACCGCUACCCUGGAUCUCACUACUAUCAUUGCUAUGCUAGUUGCUUCGUUCUAUCGCUAUGUUGCGCUACCUAUCACCUAUUUAUCAAGCCUCCCAAAUUGCCAUGAACCUCUAACCUUUGACACCCUUCCUAGCAAACCAUUGCUUGGCUAUGUUACCACUUUGCUCAGCCCCUCUUAUAGCGUUGUUAGUUGCAGGUGAAGUUGAAGAUUGCUCCAUGAUGGAUAGGUUUUUGUUGGGAUAUCACAAUAUCUCAUAUUCAAUUAAUGCAUCUAUAUAUUUGGUAAAGGGUGGAAGGCUCGGCCUUAUGCCUGGUGUUUUGUUCCACUCUUGCCGCCCCUAGUUUCCGUCAUACCGGUGUUAUGUUCCCGGAUUGUGCGUUCCUUACGCGGUUGGGUGAUUUAUGGGACCCCCUUGAUAGUUCGCUUUGAAUAAAACUCCUCCAGCAAGGCCCAACAUUGGUUUUACCAUUUGCCUCACCACCACCUAUUUUUCCCUUGGGAGUCGCUCUCUCGAGGGUCAUCUUUAUUAUAGCCCCCCCCCCCGGGCCAGUGCUUGUCUAAGUGUUGGUCUGAACCAGAGCCACUUGCAGUGCCACCUCGGGGAAACUCGAGGUCUGGUUUUAGUUGUACGUAGUGUUCAUCCGGUGUUGCCCUGAGAACGAGAUAUGUGCAGCUCCUAUCGGGAUUGUCGGCGCAUCGGGCGGUCUUGCUGGUCUUGUUUUACCAUUGUCGAAAUGUCUUGUAAACCGGGAUUCCAAGUCUGAUCGGGUCUUCCUGGGAGAAGGUAUAUCCUUCGUUGAUCGCAAGAGCUUAUCAUGGGCUAAGUUGGGACACCCCUGCAAGGUAUAAUCUUUCGAAAGCCGUGCUUGCGGUUAUAGGCAGAUGGGAAUUUGUUAAUGUCCAGUUGUAGAUAACUUGACACCAGAUCCGAAUUAAAACGCAUCAACCGUGUGUGUAGCCGUGAUGGUCUCUUUUUGGCAGAGUCCGGGAAGUGAACACGGUUUUGGGUUAAGUUUGACGUAAGUAGGAGUUCAGGAUCACUUCUUGAUCAUUGCUAGUUUCAUGACCAUUCCAUUUGCUCUCUUCUCGCUCUUAUUUGCGUAUGUUAGCCACCAUAUAUGCUUAGUCGCUGUUGCAGCCUCACCACUUUACCCCUUCCUUUCCCUUUAAGCUUUGCUAGUCUUGAUACCCAUGGUAAUGGGAUUGCUGAGUCCUCGUGGCUCACAGAUUACUACAACAACAGUUGCAGGUACAGGUUAUGCAAGGAUCAUGACGCGAGAGCGAUGCUUGCUUGCUUGAGUUCUUCUUCUGCUUCUUCUUCGAUCAGGGGAUAGGUUCCAGGUCGGCAGCCUGGGCUAGCAGGGUGGAUGUCGUUUGAGUUUCUGUUUGUGUUUCAUCCGUAGUCGAAUGAUGCUCUUAUGUAUUGUGAUGUUGUAUUCGUGUGGCAUUGUAUGCCUCUUGUAUGUAUCCCUAUCUAUUAUGUAAUGUUGAUGUAAUGAUAUCCACCUUGCAAAAGCGUUUCAAUAUGUGGUUCUAUCCUUGGUGGGACCUUCGAGUCUCUUUCGGAUAGUAUCGCAUAUUGGGCGUGACAGCUAGGUCAUGGGGUGAUGAGUAAGCAGGCUUGAGAGGUUGAGUUCUUCGUACACGCCCCUGAGUUCAAACCUUCUUGGGGUCUGUGGAGCCCUGAAUCUGACAUUUGGCAUGCCAAGUAG